rnacentral:rRNA from 1 species
CUACGGGGCGCUCCAGUGAGGAAUAUUGCACAAUGGGGGGAACCCUGAUGCAGCAACGCCGCGUGGAGAAUGACGCAUUUCGGUGUGUAAACUCCUUUUAUAUGUCAAGAAAAUGACGGUAGCAUAUGAAUAAGCACCGGCUAACUCCGUGCCAGCAGCCGCGGUAAUACGGAGGGUGCAAGCGUUACUCGGAAUCACUGGGCGUAAAGGACGCGUAGGCGGGUUGGAAAGUCAGGUGUGAAAUCCUACAGCUUAACUGUAGAACUGCACUUGAAACUUCUAAUCUAGAGUAUGGGAGGGGGAGAUGGAAUUAGUGGUGUAGGGGUAAAAUCCGUAGAUAUCACUAGGAAUACCUAAAGCGAAGGCGAUCUCCUGGAACAUUACUGACGCUAAGGCGUGAAAGCGUGGGGAGCAAACAGGAUUAGAUACCCCUGUAGUC